rnacentral:rRNA from 1 species
AUUGAACGCUGGCGGCAUGCUUUACACAUGCAAGUCGAACGGCAGCGCGGGCUUCGGCCUGGCGGCGAGUGGCGAACGGGUGAGUAAUGCAUCGGAACGUGCCCAGUAGUGGGGGAUAGCCCGGCGAAAGCCGGAUUAAUACCGCAUACGACCUGAGGGUGAAAGCGGGGGACCGAAAGGCCUCGCGCUAUUGGAGCGGCCGAUGUCGGAUUAGCUAGUUGGUGGGGUAAAGGCUUACCAAGGCGACGAUCCGUAGUUGGUCUGAGAGGACGACCAGCCACACUGGGACUGAGACACGGCCCAGACUCCUACGGGAGGCAGCAGUGGGGAAUUUUGGACAAUGGGGGCAACCCUGAUCCAGCCAUGCCGCGUGCGGGAAGAAGGCCUUCGGGUUGUAAACCGCUUUUGUUCGGGAAGAAAUCCUCUGGGCUAAUACCCCGGGGGGAUGACGGUACCGGAAGAAUAAGCACCGGCUAACUACGUG